rnacentral:rRNA from 1 species
CAUACGACCGUACCGCAAACCGACACUGGUGCGCGAGAUGAGUAUUCUAAGGCGCUUGAGAGAACUCAGGAGAAGGAACUCGGCAAAUUGACACCGUAACUUCGGAAGAAGGUGUGCCCUAUUAGUGUGUAGUGAACAACGAAGCAUGAAUGGGUUGCAAAAAAUCGGUGGCUGCGACUGUUUAUUAAAAACACAGCACUCUGCAAACACGAAAGUGGACGUAUAGGGUGUGACGCCUGCCCGGUGCUGGAAGAUUAAAUGAUGGGGUGCAAGCUCUUGAUUGAAGUCCCAGUAAACGGCGGCCGUAACAAUAACGGUCCUAAGGUAGCGAAAUUCCUUGUCGGGUAAGUUCCGACCUGCACGAAUGGCGUAACGAUGGCCACACUGUCUCCUCCUGAGACUCAGCGAAGUUGAAAUGUUUGUGAUGAUGCAAUCUCCCCGCGGAAAGACGGAAAGACCCCAUGAACCUUUACUGUAGCUUUGUAUUGGACUUUGAACAGAUCUGUGUAGGAUAGGUGGGAGGCUUUGAAGCAGGGUCGCUAGAUCUUGUGGAGCCAACGUUGAAAUACCACCCUGGUGUGUUUGAGGUUCUAACCUAGGUCCAUUAUCUGGAUCGGGGACAGUGCAUGGUAGGCAGUUUGACUGGGGCGGUCUCCUCCCAAAGCGUAACGGAGGAGUUCGAAGGUACGCUAGUUACGGUCGGACAUCGUGACGAUAGUGCAAUGGCAUAAGCGUGCUUAACUGCGAGACUGACAAGUCGAGCAGAUGCGAAAGCAGGACAUAGUGAUCCGGUGGUUCUGUAUGGAAGGGCCAUCGCUCAACGGAUAAAAGGUACUCUGGGGAUAACAGGCUGAUACCGCCCAAGAGUUCAUAUCGACGGCGGUGUUUGGCACCUCGAUGUCGCCUCAUCUCAUCCUGGGGCUGUAGCCGGUCCCAAGGGUAUGGCUGUUCGCCAUUUAAAGAGGUACGUGAGCUGGGUUUAAAACGUCGUGAGACAGUUUGGUCCCUAUCUUCCGUGGGCGCUGCAGAUUUGAGGAAGCCUGCUCCUAGUACGAGAGACCGGAGUGGACACACCUCUGGUGUAUCGGUUGUCACGCCAGUGGCAUUGCCGAGUAGCUAAGUGUGGAAGAGAUAACCGCUGAAAGCAUCUAAGCGGGAAACUCGUUUCAAGAUGAGAUCUGCCGGGGCCUUGAGCCCCCUAAAGAGUCGUUCAAGACCAGGACGUUGAUAGGUCAGGUGUGGAAGC